UCAGAUAUUCUUAUCUUCUUCACCAACUCUUUCUUGUUCUACAAACUUAUCAAAAGAAAAAGAAAAAAAGAAAACAGAUUGACAUGACAAUGGGAAAAUCUUCAUCCAAGACUGCUUUCAUCAUCCUUUUAGCUUUUAUUGUUAUGAUAUCCGUAACGGUUGAGAUCGCUGAGGCGAAACGUCUCUUACUU